rnacentral:lncRNA from 1 species
CGAUGAAAGAAAGUGCCUUAUACAAUUUUUUUGUUUGCAUCCCCAGCAGUUCUGGAGUCUACUGGAGUAGCUACCUACUGGAAUCACUUCUGAAUCCUCAGACAUCUCUUCACCCUCCUCUGGCUACACUAUAGGUUAUCUAUGCUUUGGACGCAUAAAGGUAUCUUUCUUAGGAUGUUAGCAUGGAAUAAAUAUGAACGUCAUUCCAUAUGCUAAAUGCUCGUCACUGUGGAGCUCCUGGAAGCAUUUGCAAUGGAAAUGGAGACAGCUUGACAUGAUCAUAAACCACACUACUGGAAGAAAGUAUGGGGAGAGCACAAGCAGAGAUAACAGAGCUUAGAAAGAGGUAAAAAAGAAAAAAAAAAAGGACAAGACAAGCAGCAGGUAAGAAACCAAGUUACCUAAAUGAAAUUAGGAAUAAUGUCUUAAAAAACAGGCAAGCAAUUUCUCAAAAAAACAAUGCAAUUACUUUCUUAAGUCAUUUCAGAAAUACAAAAUUUCCAAAUUUUUCUGUGUAAGAUUUUUCAUGCAUUAAAAAUAGGCUGUUUAACAUUUGAACAUUGCACAGCAUAAAUGUUCUUUAACACUUUUCCCGUAAGUAAAUUUUCUUCUCAUAGUGUCUACCUAAUCAUCAAUGAUUGCAAUUAUUUCCCUUUUAUCUGUGUUUAAUCGGUGCCUUCACACUUUGAAUAUGAAUGCAGUUCUGAUCUCCUUCCUUUUUUUGUUCCCCCUCUCAAAGUACAGACAAGGACAACAUGGAUAAAAAGAUACUGAACAGUUUCUGUUUAGGAUAGAGAGGAUAUGACUUAGAGAUGAUAUGAGAGAUCUAAAAAUCUAGACUAGCUUAGUCAAAAUCAUUAGGAAUAACCACUUCACUCUCUUUCUCAUAAUAAAAGAAUCAGUGACAUCCA